UCUUACCCUCACAGAAUAAUUUGCAACAGCCCAACAAAUCACCAAAUCCCACUCUUGAAAUCUGUAGCAGCUGUGACCCAGGUUUUAAAGCAUCUGUUUUGUUCCCUAGAAGAAACGCACACCAAAGUAGUCCACUGGAUCCAUGGGAAAGAAUUCCAUCGUCUUGGAUGGGCUUUGCAUCGUGCCCUGCAGUCGCUUUCCCUGUGUUUGGCUGGCAGAUUGGCACCCCCAGAGAGCUCUCAGUGCCCCAGAACUCAAUCCAAUCCCCUCCAGAGAUCUCCAGAGAAACAUCUGUAGCCACACAGCUCCCAGUGCAUUAUACUGGGACUCUGAUCUGCCUUUGUCCUCCUGACCCUCACAUGUAGAAAUGAUGGAGUCUUUUCCACUGUGUUGUAAGAACAGAUGUUUUAAAUUCAUGUUUCAGCAGAGCAGUCAAACAGCCUUUCUAAACCUUGAAGAUGGCAGCAGAUUCCCUCCCCACACCUUCCCUGUGCAGCUGGAGAGCAGAGUGGCUGUUCCUGGGCCCAGGUGCUGCUCCAUCCUUGCCUGCCAGGACACACAGACCCCCGGGCUUCUCCUGCAUCCGAGACAAGCUGUGGGGUUCUGCUGGUCUGAUCCCCCUGGACAAGGGUGUGCAGGUCAGCACUGG